UGGGGAAAUUUUGGACAAUGGGGGCAACCCUGAUCCAGCCAUGCCGCGUGCGGGAAGAAGGCCUUCGGGUUGUAAACCGCUUUUGUCGGGGAAGAAACGGUCUGUGCUAAUACCGCGGACUAAUGACGGUACCCGAAGAAUAAGCACCGGCUAACUACGUGC
rnacentral:rRNA from 1 species